rnacentral:tRNA from 1 species
GCUGUGGUGGUUCAGUGGUAGAAUUCCUGCCUUCCAUGCAGGAAACUUGGGUUUGAUUCUCAGCCAAUGCA